UACGUAGGGUGCAAGCGUUGUCCGGAAUUAUUGGGCGUAAAGAGCUCGUAGGCGGUCUGUCGCGUCGAAUGUGAAAACCCGGGGCUCAACCCCGGGCCUGCAUUCGAUACGGGCAGACUAGAGUUCGGUAGGGGAGUCUGGAAUUCCUGGUGUAGCGGUGAAAUGCGCAGAUAUCAGGAGGAACACCGGUGGCGAAGGCGGGACUCUGGCCUAAUACUGACACUGAGACGCGAAAGCAUGGGGAGCGAACGGG
rnacentral:rRNA from 1 species